GGGGGCGACUGGUUUCGACACGAUAGUUCUGAGAGAGGAAGCAGGCCGUGGUCUCCUCGCCACGUAAAACAGGGGUACCGUCAAAAUGAAUUGACAAGAAUUCUUCUUACGAGCCCCAGUUGGCUCUUGCUGCUUAAUUAGAUAGCGGCACGUCAAACCCGGGUGUUCCCCGACCCGGGGGCGAUGUCAUGCUAGGGGAAUGCUCCUACGCACGUAAUCGGUAUGGCGUAGGCUAAGAUCGAACCGAUUGGAACAACGCGAGCGUGUCGCUGCGCGCACGUAGUUCGAGAUUAAACCAGCGACUGAGCCUGGAGAUGCCGAUCAGGGAGCUGUCGUGGACCGGAGUUCGAUUCUCCGCGCCUCCACCA
rnacentral:tmRNA from 2 species